AACGAACGCUGGCGGCAUGCCUAACACAUGCAAGUCGAACGAGACCUUCGGGUCUAGUAGCGCACGGGUGCGUAACGCGUGGGAACCUGCCCUUAGGUUCGGAAUAACUCCCCGAAAGGGGUGCUAAUACCGGAUAAUGUCUUCGGACCAAAGAUUUAUCGCCUUUGGAUGGGCCCGCGUUGGAUUAGCUAGUUGGUAGGGUAAAAGCCUACCAAGGCGACGAUCCAUAGCUGGUCUGAGAGGAUGAUCAGCCACACUGGGACUGAGACACGGCCCAGACUCCUACGGGAGGCAGCAGUGGGGAAUAUUGGACAAUGGGCGAAAGCCUGAUCCAGCAAUGCCGCGUGAGUGAUGUAGGCCUUAGGGUUGUAAAGCUCUUUUACCCGGGAUGAUAAUGACAGUACCGGGAGAAUAAGCUCCGGCUAACUCCGUG
rnacentral:rRNA from 1 species